AGUAUGUGGUAUAAAAAGAGACGAAUUAGAGCAAAUAUUUAUAUCAGUUGAUGAGCUACAAGCGUUAAUACACGAUGAGGUUCAUCCAGUGCGCGUUCCUGUUCAUUCUCGCGAUGUUAGUGGUUGAUAUCACGGCAACUCCACAACUACCACCGGCCUUACUUCCAAUUGAGCAGACGGAAUGCCAGACUAACGCCGACUGCCCACCUAUGGAAACCUGUGUCCCGGAUCCGUACACCAACAAGAAGAGAUGUGUGCCCGUUAUAAUUUAAAGUACCACGAAAAAACUACAAAGGUGUUUGGGGCUCGAGGAAAGUUAUCAGCAUCUUUUUAAACGAAUUAAAAUUUUUUGUUAGAUAUUAAGCUUAUUCGGUUUGAACUAUAAUCAUCCGUUACAACCUUUUUAUCAUCCCACUGCUGGGCUGCGGUCUCCUCUCACACGGAGAAGGAUUGAGCAUUAAUCACCACGCUUGCUCAAUGCGGUUUGGUGAUUUCAGACUUUAUAGUCCAGGUUUCCUCAAGAUGUUUUCCUUCACCUUUUUAUCAGCCAUUGGUGUUUUAAAUUACUUAAAAAGUACAUACAAACUUAGAAAAGUUGCAUUGGUACUUGCCUGAACCCACACCCUCAUACUCGAGAGGUUGGUUCUUUACUAGGCCACCACGACUUCAACUAUCAUCAUAUAUUUACAUAAAUAGACACCUUCAAAUAACUUAUUGAGGAUAUUUUAAAUUAAACCAAUUUCUGUCUCUGAAAUUGCAAA